UACGAAGGGUGCUAGCGUUGUUCGGAUUUACUGGGCGUAAAGGGCGCGUAGGCGGUAGCACAAGUCAGUUGUGAAAUCUCCGGGCUUAACUCGGAAAGGUCAACUGAUACUGUGCGACUAGAGUGCAGAAGGGGCAACUGGAAUUCUCGGUGUAGCGGUGAAAUGCGUAGAUAUCGAGAGGAACACCUGCGGCGAAGGCGGGUUGCUGGGCUGACACUGACGCUGAGGCGCGAAAGCCAGGGGAGCGAACAGG
rnacentral:rRNA from 1 species